rnacentral:lncRNA from 1 species
UUACAAAGAACCCAAAGCAAAAGGGAUUUAGCCAAACAUGACUAUGAAAUCCAUACAAGAAGAUAAAGAUGAAACCUGAAACAUAGGGCUUAGAGAAAGCUCCUCAAGCUCCAUAACUCAAACCCUCUCUUCUAACUUAUGAAAAUAUGAUAAAAUGAAAAAAGGUUCCAAGAGAAAUGUCUAAAAACCAAUUUAUAGGCAAAACA